CUGCAGUGCUUAUGGAAGGCAUUUGCUACAUGGUUUUGGAGAUGGAAAGUUGCUUUGGCAGUGACAGCUCAAGGUGAUCAAUGUUCAAUGCAUAGAGCAAGAUCUGCCUGAUUCUAGAGAUGGUCAUGCAAAAUGAUCCAGAGAGAGGCAUUCUGUUUGUAGAACGCUGUUUACAGCACCUGCUUUGAAGUCCAGUGCUCAGUGCUGCCUCCAUCCCAGUCUUUACUGGUAAGAUCGGCCUUCAGGAUCCCAGGCCCAAGGCCAGUGGGAAAAUCUGGAGUGAAGAAGACUGACCUGCUUGGUGGAUAAAGAACAGUUUAGGAGCAGGAACUGGCCAUAUAUUGUGAUGACUGGCUCAUCUGGAAUGCAUGCUACAAAUUGUGCAAGGGUCUCUUUGGAGAAGGAAAUGGGGGAACCAAGACCAGUCAUUCUGAAAUUGCCCUUUCAAGAUUCAAAG